rnacentral:rRNA from 1 species
AACGAACGCUGGCGGCGCGUCUUAAGCAUGCAAGUCGAACGGUAAGGGAGAGCUUGCUCUCCCCUAGAGUGGCGGACUGGUGAGUAACGCGUGGGUGACCUGCCCUGAAGAUGGGGAUAGCUAGUAGAAAUAUUAGAUAAUACCGAAUGUGCUCAUUUACAUAAAGGUAAAUGAGGAAAGGAGCUACGGCUCCACUUCAGGAUGGGCCCGCGUCCCAUUAGCUAGUUGGUGAGGUAAAGGCCCACCAAGGCAACGAUGGGUAUCCGGCCUGAGAGGGUGAACGGACACAUUGGGACUGAGAUACGGCCCAAACUCCUACGGGAGGCAGCAGCUAAGAAUCUUCCGCAAUGGACGAAAGUCUGACGGAGCGACGCCGUGUGAAUGAAGAAGGCCGAAAGGUUGUAAAAUUCUUUUGCAGAUGAAGAAUAAGAAGAAGAGGGAAUGCUUCUUUGAUGACGGUAGUCAUGCGAAUAAGCCCCGGCUAAUUACGUGCCAGCAGCCGCGGUAACACGUAAGGGGCGAGCGUUGUUCGGAAUUAUUGGGCGUAAAGGGUAUGUAGGCGGUUAGGUAAGCCUGGUGUGAAAUCUACGAGCUCAACUCGUAAACUGCAUUGGGUACUGCUUGACUUGAAUCACGGAGGGGAAACCGGAAUUCCAGUGUAGGGGUGGAAUCUGUAGAUAUUUGGAAGAACACCGGUGGCGAAGGCGGGUUUCUGGCCGAUGAUUGACGCUGAUAUACGAAGGUGCGGGGAGCAAACAGG